CACGUAGGGGGCGAGCGUUGUUCGGAAUCAUUGGGCGUAAAGGGUGCGCAGGCGGCAUGCCAAGUCUGGUGUGAAAGGUCCCGGCUCAACCGGGGAAACGCAUUGGAAACUGGUAUGCUAGAGUACAGGAGGGGGAGUUGGAAUUCCAGGUGUAGGGGUGAAAUCUGUAGAUAUCUGGAAGAACACCGGUGGCGAAGGCGAACUUCUGGCCAUGUACUGACGCUGAGGCACGAAGGCGUGGGGAGCAAACAGGUUUAGAUACCCUGGUAGUCCACGCUGUAAACGAUGAGGGCUAGGUGUUGGGUAGCGAUAUUCAGUGCCGCAGCAAACGCAAUAAGCACUCCGCCUGGGGAGUACGGUCGCAAGACUAAA
rnacentral:rRNA from 1 species